GCCUGGUGCAGUGGUGUGUGCCUGUGGUCCCAGCUACUCCAGAGGCUGAGGCUGGAGGAUCGUUUGAACCCAGGAGUUCUGGGCUGUUGUGUGCUAUGCCGAUCGGCUGUCCACACUAAGUUUGGCAUCAAUAUGGUGACCUCCCAGGAGCGGGGGACCACCAGGUUGCCUAAGGAGGGGUGAACCAGCCCAGGUCGGAAACAGAGCAGGUCAAAACUCCUGUGCUGAUCAGUAGUGGGAUCGUGCCUGUGAAUACCCACUGCACUCCAGCCUGGGCAACAUAGCAAGACCCCAUCUCUU
ensembl:misc_RNA Metazoa_SRP Metazoan signal recognition particle RNA